rnacentral:rRNA from 1 species
AAUAGAUACCCCGGUAGUCCAUGCCGUAAACGUUGGGCACUAGGUGUGGGGGACAUUCCACGUUUUCCGCGCCGUAGCUAACGCAUUAAGUGCCCCGCCUGGGGAGUACGGCCGCAAGGCUAAAACUCAAAGGAAUUGACGGGGGCCCGCACAAGCGGCGGAGCAUGCGGAUUAAUUCGAUGCAACGCGAAGAACCUUACCAAGGCUUGACAUGAACCGGAAAGAUCUGGAAACAGGUCCCCCACUUGUGGUCGGUUUACAGGUGGUGCAUGGUUGUCGUCAGCUCGUGUCGUGAGAUGUUGGGUUAAGUCCCGCAACGAGCGCAACCCUCGUUCUAUGUUGCCAGCACGUGAUGGUGGGGACUCAUAGGAGACUGCCGGGGUCAACUCGGAGGAAGGUGGGGACGACGUCAAAUCAUCAUGCCCCUUAUGUCUUGGGCUUCACGCAUGCUACAAUGGCCGGUACAAAGGGUUGCGAUACUGUGAGGUGGAGCUAAUCCCAAAAAGCCGGUCUCAGUUCGGAUUGGGGUCUGCAACUCGACCCCA